CAAGCCGAGCCACCGAGAGCCUUCCACAGGUGUGUGAAGACAUUGAAGUUUUGCGGCCUGGAGUGUUUACUGUGUCCCGCUUCAUGGAGCUGAGGGAGUUCGUGCGCAAAACCAACCCGGAGCUGUGCAGACGCAGGGCUCGGACGGACUGGAUCAAUGAUCAGAUAGCGGUCUCAGCAUGGACAUUUAAAAGAAAAAAGAAAAGGGAUCGAAAGCUGGAAGGGUUAUACGGUGAUUCCUCACAGCCAUUCUGUGUGGCAGGGAAUCAUAACAAAUGGUAACCAGUCCACACUGCUAAUGCUAUCUCUGAUUAAAAGACCGAGCUCCGUGCCCAACAGCGCACAGCGGCAUGACCAAGAUUUUUGGAGAAUGCAUCAAUUUUCUAACCAAAAACUCCAGAAGUUUUUUCACCAACAAAUGUUCAUCUUUGAGCAGGAGGAAUACAGCAGAUGGCAUUGACUUUGGCUUAGACCUACAUUGCCUACAAGAAGUAGGAGUCAUAACAACCUGAGGAGCACUCUGUCUCACUUUGUAUGCUGCUGUAUGUCUGUAAUGCAGCCCUACAAGAACUUCUUUGGACUACUGCUAGUACCAACAAAGCACCGCAUUUUAAUUUAGAUUUUUAAGGGGAUCUCUUUGCCCACUACCUUUAGGUGUGGCAGAGAUGCUCCCGUUUCUUCCCCACUUAAUGGAGUUCUGGAUGACAUUUACAUCUAUAUGUUGGGACUUUCUACCCAAAUCAUCUGUGCCAGGUUUAAAUAUUGGUGGGUUUGAUUAAUUUUUCAAUUUCAUUUAAAGAAAUGAUAAAAUUAAAAACAAACAUAAGUCUAGUAUAAAUUUAUCUCUCAUAUGCCUUCAGGUUAGGUUUAAACCUUGUUCAGUUUUUUCAGCUAAUGAUUAUUGAACUUUUCUACCAUUCCAAGAAUAAAUAGAUGAAACAACAAGGCUGCAGAGAAACUUCUAAGCUGGGCGAAUACUCACCCCAUGCAAUACGGGUUAGUCAACACAACGGUUGAGAUUUUUCAUCUUUUCUUCUCAGUCUCUUUACCUUCACACGGACUAUGGUGCCUUGAGUUCAUGACUGGAAGAUACGAGUGCUAAGUAGGUAACAGUGAUCACCAACUUGCUGCAAGCAUUCUGCAGAGAACUCAAGAAGAUCAAGAUUAAGUAUUUUAUGAGAAAGUCAAGACAACACUUAACUGAGGCACCAAAGAAAAUAGUGAAAUGCUUAAUAUGACGCCAUCCAAAUUGUACUUUAAGGUGUUCCUGAGUUAUUCCUAAGGCAACAUUUGAAUGUGUUUUUAUGCGGCUGCAAAUUUAGAGAGAUAUUUGAAGAAUGCAUGAGGUAUGCCGGGCCUGAGGUGUGGCGUGUGUCCAACGUGUGUCCACAAACACUGCCGUGAUUGUGUGUGUGGCCCCUUUGAAAUAAGCCUGUUAAACCCUUUCUACCCCAAAUAGCAUUGACAAAAGCAGGUGUCGUGCAAGUGGGUCAUGUGGUGGCUCAAAGGAACCCCAUGCCAGUUGUUCGGUAUUCUUUCCCAGUAUGGUCCCCAUCCCCCCAUUAUAAAUAACCUCCAUCUAUCCACGUCCUCCCUCCCUUACAGCUUUGUUAGGAAUAGUUGCUGUCAAGAGCACACAAAUCGCUGAGAUGCCAGCCCAGGUGAUUGAGGAUUAAGUCCUCUUGUUUCACCAGUGAGUUGAGUUGCAGAUAAUCAACGACCUCUGCCCAACCUCUGACUGAGUGUCCCUGAUUGUAAUGCCAUGCCAGUAAUGCGGAAUUGAUUUACUUUCCAGGCAUGUCCAGUGUCACCAUGGGCUUACUGAUAUAGAACACAAGACACAAUGGCGUGUGCUGGUCUGACCCUAUUUGGUGCUGGCCUCGCUGAGCUAAUUUAGAACAAUGGGGGAGGAGUGUUCGAGUUCCAUCGUCAAAAUGGAGGCUGUCGCUCUCAAACUUGUACACAAACAACAACAAAAAAAAUUUACUGAGAUUAAUGUGAAUACAAUACAAGUGAAUUAAUUAAAAUUGAAUUAUUAAAUUAAUAUAAUGGUUAUAGAACAUGUUAAUUAAAUAAUUAAUUCCCCCCACCCCAGAGAAAAGAACUAACCUGAAUAAGAGGAUUGGUUAAGCCAGCAAGACAGUCCAAUACAGCAAAUAUUAAAGUCUCAGGAUUAAGAGUGACAUACUAGAGGAACCUCUUUGGUCACAGAAUUCAAAGGAUGAAGAUGAUGUAGGAAGACCUAAAUGAGAUGUGUCAGCUCAGCAAUGCUAACAGACAGCUAAAGCACAACUAGCUCAAUAAAAGCACAACCAGCUCAAGACAGCUAAAGCACAACUAGCUCAAUACCCAUCAAAGAGGUCAUUUCUCCACCUUAACCACAAUUUUAGAGUAACAUGAUAUCAGCUUUAAUGUCAACAAAAGCGUAUUGCCUAAAAUCAAGAAACCAAUCCAGUACCAAAAUGUCUGUCUUCUUUUUAUCUUAUUUAAUAAUUAAGUGAGACACCUGAAGGCCAAGAAAUAAGAAGAAAGGAAAUUGAGCUCAAUGAUUCUCUGCAUCAUUGUGACGAUCUCAGUAACAGAUCCCCAUAACAUCUUUCUGGCUCCUGAACUGGAAAAGCUCCAAAAAGUAAUUUAAAUCAUUUGGACAAAUGUGCAAAGCCUCUUGGAAUCUGCUGAGAGUGAAUAUGUUAUAAGCACAAAUGAGAAACAAAGCUAGUACACUAAUACCACACAGAGAUGUAAUAAAGACAGUACUGGUCUGUCUUUGCACUGAUGGUUGAUUCUGUGCUGCUGAACCAGAAAAAGAAGCUGGAAAGUGAUAUCUUGAUGCUGGCAGUGAUGCAAGGAUCUCUGCAAUGCUUAAGAGAAGGUCAAGGAGCCCUACAAGCUAAAGAGUUAGUGUGUAGUGUCUCAUUUUAAAGCAUUAUGUCAUGCUUGCAUAUUACAACAUCAAGGCAAGCAUAAACCAUGUUUGUCCAGAUUGCUGCACAAGUGCAGGCUGCUUCCAGAGUGCAAAAGUUGGAAAGAAGGGGCACUAUCAACGUAACCUGGUUUAUAAGGCCCCACCACAACGUAUAGGAGAGCAGUCAUGGACAAUUAUUGAGCCAACAGACUGUGCCUUUGCACGAGAGACACGUCAUCCAGCCAUGAGUGUUUCUUUAUUUACAGCAAGUGAUUUCACACCAUGAAGAAGCAUGUUCCAUGUUAAAGGUUAGCUUUACACACUGCUGUGGGGUAGGAUUUUCAAUAUGGAGUUUACUUGUUAGCAAAUCUAGACACAAAAAAGUGGAGUGGAGACUCAGAAAGCCUGUUUAUACACUGAAAAGUGGGACUGGGCUUAAUUAACAAUUGUUAAAUUAAUAUUACUGACAAGUACAUAAUAAAAUUUACUAACUGCAUUCUGGAGUCAAAUCAACCUGAUUUAAACAAAUGCUGAUUAUUUCUUAAUUCAAUUUCAAGUUAAUUUUUUGUCAGUUUAAAUCAGCGAGGAAAAAAUGGGGAAAUUUUAAGUUAAUUUUUCUGGCCAUGUCACAACUGAAGAAAUUUUGUAAAUUUUACUCAUUUAGAGAGACUAGAUUCUACUGCCAUGCAAUUUCCGCCCAAGUUUUUAAAUCCAGACAAGGUGCCACAUGUUGCAGUAUCUAGCUUUUUUCUUAAGGUGAGAUUUGUUUAGUUGUUCAAAUAAUUUUGUAGCAGUUAAAUUUUUUACAGACAGUUGUGAAAUAUACAAAUUGUAUUGUGUGGUUAAAUUUAGUUAAGCUAUUUCCUCUCAGUCUGCUGUUUUUAUUUGGCUAAAAGUCAGGCUCAGCAUGGUAGUUAGUUCAGUGUGUGAAUUUUCUCACAAUGUGCGUUAUAUAGUAUAUUAUAUUCUUUAAAGAGGCAGCCGGGCUAAAGACUUAAAAAUUUACCUUUUGUGUUUUGAAUUGAGCUUAAUAUAAAAUAUUAAAUUAAAAGGGAGACGUGUAGUAACAAAAUAUUGUACGUUUCUUUAUGAUGAAUAUGGCCCACCUUUGUAAUAGGCUCAUAAUGCUGUUUGCUAGUUUUAAUGUUAAAAACUCUUGAUGUUUCAGACGAAAUAUAUUUGGCAGUAUAUUCUUUUUUGAUACACAAAGUAUACAGUUACUGUCCAUUUUACCAGCUUCUGAUGCUGCAAAAAUGUUGGACAAUGUUUAUAGUG